AUGGACUGCCAUACCUCUCUGGCUCCGCCUGAUCUCAGAAGGUAAGCAGAGUAGGGCCUGGUUAGUACUUGGAUGGAAGGCCGCCUGGGAAUCCCAGGUGCCAUAAGUA
ensembl:rRNA 5S_rRNA 5S ribosomal RNA